rnacentral:rRNA from 1 species
UAGGGAAUCUUCGGCAAUGGUCGGAAGUCUGACCGAGCAACGCCGCGUGAGUGAAGAAGGUUUUCGGAUCGUAAAGCUCUGUUGUAAGAGAAGAACGAGUGUGAGAGUGGAAAGUUCACACUGUGACGGUAUCUUACCAGAAAGGGACGGCUAACUACGUGCCAGCAGCCGCGGUAAUACGUAGGUCCCGAGCGUUGUCCGGAUUUAUUGGGCGUAAAGCGAGCGCAGGCGGUUAGAUAAGUCUGAAGUUAAAGGCUGUGGCUUAACCAUAGUAGGCUUUGGAAACUGUUUAACUUGAGUGCAAGAGGGGAGAGUGGAAUUCCAUGUGUAGCGGUGAAAUGCGUAGAUAUAUGGAGGAACACCGGUGGCGAAAGCGGCUCUCUGGCUUGUAACUGACGCUGAGGCUCGAAAGCGUGGGGAGCAAACAGGAUUAGAUACCCUGGUAGUCCACGCUGUAAACGAUGAGUGCUAGGUGUUAGACCCUUUCCGGGGUUUAGUGCCGUAGCUAACGCAUUAAGCACUCCGCCUGGGGAGUACGACCGCAAGGUUG